rnacentral:rRNA from 1 species
CGGAGAGUUUGAUCCUGGCUCAGGAUGAACGCUGGCGGCGUGCCUAAUACAUGCAAGUCGAACGCUUUGUGGUUCAACUGAUUUGAAGAGCUUGCUCAGAUAUGACGAUGGACAUUGCAAAGAGUGGCGAACGGGUGAGUAACACGUGGGAAACCUACCUCUUAGCAGGGGAUAACAUUUGGAAACAGAUGCUAAUACCGUAUAACAAUAGCAACCGCAUGGUUGCUACUUAAAAGAUGGUUCUGCUAUCACUAAGAGAUGGUCCCGCGGUGCAUUAGUUAGUUGGUGAGGUAAUGGCUCACCAAGACGAUGAUGCAUAGCCGAGUUGAGAGACUGAUCGGCCACAAUGGGACUGAGACACGGCCCAUACUCCUACGGGAGGCAGCAGUAGGGAAUCUUCCACAAUGGGCGAAAGCCUGAUGGAGCAACGCCGCGUGUGUGAUGAAGGGUUUCGGCUCGUAAAACACUGUUGUAAGAGAAGAAUGACAUUGAGAGUAACUGUUCAAUGUGUGACGGUAUCUUACCAGAAAGGAACGGCUAAAUACGUGCCAGCAGCCGCGGUAAUACGUAUGUUCCAAGCGUUAUCCGGAUUUAUUGGGCGUAAAGCGAGCGCAGACGGUUAUUUAAGUCUGAAGUGAAAGCCCUCAGCUCAACUGAGGAAUUGCUUUGGAAACUGGAUGACUUGAGUGCAGUAGAGGAAAGUGGAACUCCAUGUGUAGCGGUGAAAUGCGUAGAUAUAUGGAAGAACACCAGUGGCGAAGGCGGCUUUCUGGACUGUAACUGACGUUGAGGCUCGAAAGUGUGGGUAGCAAACAGGAUUAGAUACCCUGGUAGUCCACACCGUAAACGAUGAGUGC